rnacentral:rRNA from 1 species
ACGGAGGGUGCAAGCGUUAUCCGGAUUCACUGGGUUUAAAGGGUGCGUAGGUGGGCAGGUAAGUCAGUGGUGAAAUCUCUGGGCUUAACCCGGAAACUGCCAUUGAUACUAUCUGUCUUGAAUUCUCUGGAGGUAAGCGGAAUAUGUCAUGUAGCGGUGAAAUGCUUAGAUAUGACAUAGAACACCCAUUGCGAAGGCAGCUUACUACGGAGUUAUUGACACUGAGGCACGAAAGCGUGGGGAUCAAACAGGAUUAGAUACCCUGGUAGUCCACGCCCUAAACGAUGAUUACUCGACAUUAGCGAUAUUACAGUUAGUGUCUAAGCGAAAGCAUUAAGUAAUCCACCUGGGAAGUACGACCGCAAGGUUG